AGAGAAGCCAGGGACUUCUAAGUGUGCGGAGCAGUCCGGCAAGAAUUGGAAGGCACUAGCAUUGCCAAGGGUGGCUCUAAAGGCCACCCCUAACUGCACUCAACUCCCUCCAACUCCCACCCCGCACGAAAACAACAGAAGUAAAAGCAGGCAGCUUAUUAGAGAUGCGCCUUCAAAAUACCCUUCGAGUUAAUCUCAGCCCCCCUCCCCGGAUUGCUGUCUCUAAACCGCUCUUACCAAAAAGUAAAACACAUAAAAAUAAAAUAAAAUUGGAACCGACACGAAUUUCAGACUGUAGAAGACAGAGAAAACUUCUAAUUUUUUUAAGUGAACAUGUUUUUUAAAGAAAGGAGCAAGUUUUUUCUCUCCCACUCGACCUUUAAGAUAGUGCAGGUUCCAAGGUCCUGAGUAGAUAAUUAUAUCAAAAGCAGAAAGGGAUGGACACCGGUAGCUACGCGAGGUUCUGGAAUGGGACUCAGUCAUUGAUUCCUGUAUGUCCGCCGCUGGCAUGUUAUAUAAAAGCUGGACCUGGC
rnacentral:lncRNA from 1 species